rnacentral:ncRNA from 2 species
GCUUACUGAUGGGGUCAUGGUGAAUCCGGCCCCGGCCGGACGAAGAAGAGGGAAGCCGGUGAAAAUCCGGCACUGCCCCCGCAGCUGUAAGCGGCGAGCGACGCUGGAACACCACUGAGGCCCUGGCUUCGGGAAGGUCAGCCAAGCCGGGACCCGCAAGUCAGAAGACCUGCCAUGACACGAGAUGACGU